rnacentral:rRNA from 1 species
GCCCUUAGAGUUUGAUCAUGGCUCAGGACGAACGCUGGCGGCAGGCUUAACACAUGCAAGUCGCACGAGAACAGGCCUUCGGGCCUUAGUAAAGUGGCGGACGGGUGAGUAACACGUAGACAACCUGCCCCAAAGCGAGGGAUAACUAUCGGAAACGGUAGCUAAUACCGCAUGCAGUCUUUACCGGGCAUCCGGUUUAGAUGAAAGCCUUCGGGCGCUUUGGGAUGGGUCUGCGGAGGAUUAGUUUGUUGGUAGGGUAAAGGCCUACCAAGACUACGAUCCAUAGCUGGUCUGAGAGGACGAUCAGCCACACUGGGACUGAGACACGGCCCAGACUCCUACGGGAGGCAGCAGUGGGGAAUCUUGGGCAAUGGGCGAAAGCCUGACCCAGCCAUGCCGCGUGGAGGAAGACACCCCUAUGGGGCGUAAACUCCUUUUGUGCAGGAAGAAGGCCUCGAUCACCGAGGUUUGACGGUACUGCACGAAUAAGCACCGGCUAACUCCGUGCCAGCAGCCGCGGUAAUACGGAGGGUGCAAGCGUUGUCCGGAAUCACUGGGUGUAAAGGGUGUGUAGGCGGGAUUGUAAGUCAGAGGUGAAAUCUUGCGGCUCAACCGUAAAAUUGCCUUUGAUACUGCAGUUCUUGAGUCCCGGAGAGGUUGUUGGAAUUC